UACGAAGGGAGCUAGCGUUGUUCGGAAUUACUGGGCGUAAAGCGCGCGUAGGCGGAUCUGCAAGUCGGGGGUGAAAUCCCGAGGCUCAACCUCGGAACUGCCUUCGAUACUGCGGGUCUCGAGUCCGGGAGAGGUGAGUGGAAUUCCUAGUGUAGAGGUGAAAUUCGUAGAUAUUAGGAAGAACACCAGUGGCGAAGGCGGCUCACUGGCCCGGUACUGACGCUGAGGCGCGAAAGCGUGGGGAGCAAACAGG
rnacentral:rRNA from 1 species